UACUGGACCCUGAAGAGUACAACUAAUUUGAAGCCCUGCUUCUGCAGACUAGAGACUUCAACCAACCGUCUGCCAAGAUAACAGGGGGCUCAGAAACCAAAGAAGUUAUAGCUACUGUUUGAAGACAGCUCUUUUCCAUGUGAUGAUUCAGAAACUCAGGCGCCUUCCAGCUUGUGGCUGUACUAUCCCCAAGGGUCCAGGACCUCAUCAUUAUUCUUCCCUUCCAGACACAACUGUCCAUUGGCACCCUUCAUCCCACACAGAGAGCCUACACCCACGUCCUCCUUAAGGAAAAUAACCCAGAGCUCCAUUCAGUCUCUACAACCACUUGAAAUUCUGGGACUCUGGAGAACACAACGUCUCCUCAAUCAGAUCUACAUGUGGCUCCUGAUGGUCCAACAAUUAUUAACUAAAAGACCCAGUUAUUUGCUCCUCCAAUCUGCAUCUGCUAUGCCAUGGAGGAACAGGGACUUGAGAACUGCAAUAAAACUCUCAUUCAGAAAAAGGGAGAAUGGGAAAGAGUCCUUGGUUAAUAGCACAAUGGAAUCUUGCUAGGUGGGCAGUGUGAAGGCCCUUUGCCAGGUAAGAGGGGAUAAACGACUUGCUUAGUCCUUUAAUCUGCUCUCUGGGAGGGUUUCAUUAUCUAUUUUUCUCUAAGGCCCCUUGCUCCAUCCUUUUGGAUAUCCUUCCUUGUCCAUUAUCCUUUUGGGCCACUUCCGAAGUAUACUCCUGAAAGACUGUACAGCCUUCCUAGCCCACUUUCUUCUCAGGCAAAUUUAGAAACAAAGGGCAAGCUUGACCAAUCAAAGAUGAUUUCAUCCCAGCUUGUGACUCCUUAGUAAUACAACUCCCUACAAAACUUAGUAAUCUUCUGAUUUAUUUGCUUCC